AACGAACGCUGGCGGCAUGCCUAACACAUGCAAGUCGAACGAGACCUUCGGGUCUAGUGGCGCACGGGUGCGUAACGCGUGGGAACCUGCCCUUAGGUUCGGAAUAACUCCCCGAAAGGGGUGCUAAUACCGGAUAAUGUCUUCGGACCAAAGAUUUAUCGCCUUUGGAUGGGCCCGCGUUGGAUUAGCUAGUUGGUAGGGUAAAAGCCUACCAAGGCGACGAUCCAUAGCUGGUCUGUGAGGAUGAUCAGCCACACUGGGACUGAGACACGGCCCAGACUCCUACGGGAGGCAGCAGUGGGGAAUAUUGGACAAUGGGCGAAAGCCUGAUCCAGCAAUGCCGCGUGAGUGAUGAAGGCCUUAGGGUUGUAAAGCUCUUUUACCCGGGAUGAUAAUGACAGUACCGGGAGAAUAAGCCCCGGCUAACUCCGUG
rnacentral:rRNA from 1 species